GCAGAAGAAUCACUUGAACCCAGGAGGCAGAGGUUGCGGUGAGCAGAGAUCGCGCCACUGCACUCCAUCAUGGGCAACAAGAGCGAAACCUCGCCUCGAAACAAAAAGCGGGGAGGGCAACCAGCAGCCGUCAGGGCUGCUCUGUCGAUAGAGUAGCCAUUCUUUUAUUCUUUUGCUUUCAAAAUGAACUUACUUUCAAUGUAUGGACUUGCCUCAAAUUCUUUCUUGCAUGAGAUCCAAGAACCCUCUCUUGGGGUCUGGAUGGGGCCCCCUUUCUGGUAACAGUGUGAAUAGUGAUUAUUGUGUGGGUUUUGGCUUCCAGUGAGAUGAAAAGGAACUGGUGGAUUUUAAGGAGAAAAGGAACGUGAUCUUUCUACUGAAGCUAAUGUGAUUUGAAUACUCUGGGCUUGGGGUGGGGGUGUUUGCAAGGGUAGAAGCAGAGAGACCCAAUGAAGCUACUGCAGUGACCCAGCUGAGAAACCGAGGUGCCUGAGACCGUAAGCAAGGGAUGUGAUGAGAAACGAUGGAAUUCUAGUCAUAUGUUGUUGUGAAGUUAGAUAUGGGAUGAGAGACAAAAAGAGGUGUCAGGGAAGACUCCACAGUUUUCAGCUUGAACAACUGAAAGUGGAGGUGCCUUUGCUGAGAUUUGGGGGGGAUUGUGGAGGAACCGAUUGGAAGCAGUACUAGGAGCGCAGUUUUAAGCACAUUAAAUUUGAGAUUCCUCUUUAGACAUCUAAGCAGAAAGCUCAUGUAGGUAGAAUCUGGACUUCAGUGGGAGGUCAGGAUUAAAAAGGCAAAUUUAAAGCCUUUAAUUUAAAAUUUAAAAAAUGAGCAUUGAACUGUUGUUCAAAAUCACAAGAAAGAUUGAGGCCACCAAGGGAGUGAGAAGAGUGGUCUGGGGCCUCUCCUGGUCCCAUGGAGUAAGCAAGGCAGAUUGAGGAACAGAUAGGAAGGUAUAAAUCGUGGUUCUCUAGACACUAAGGGAAGCCGUAGUAACCCACGUCGUUAGAUGCUGCUGAUGGGUCAGGUAAGACGCCAGCUGAACAUCGAUCAGAAGAUUCAGCAAUGAGGAGGAAGUUAGUGACCUUGGCAAGUGGUUUCAGUGAAAUGGCAGAGACAAAAGCCAAAGUGGAGGAGAUUCGAGGGAGAAUUGGUGGAACUGGAUCAAAGAGUGAGUCUAGUCAGACUCUCUUUUGAAGCCCAGAAGAGUCCAGGAAAAUUCUGGUUUUGUUGUUUCAAGAUGAGAGAAAUUACAUGUUUCUCCCAAUGCAUGUGUUAGAGAGAUUGCAAGUUAUUUUUCUGAAAUCGUCUACCAGAUUGAUGACACUGAAGACCACCACAGCCUGCGUGUGCUAGGUGUGGACGUGUAGUGCCUCCCUCCUGAGACGGCUUCAUAGAACCGGGCUGUGGAAAAGGCAGAGGAGUGGGAGGGGCUGGGAGGGGAGAGAGAGAGAGAGAAUGCAGAGGUUGGCAUUGAGUAUGUUAAAGGUGGCUUUUGCAAUUGUUAUGAAAUUUGGUUUCUUCUUGCUCCGUGUCUGCAUUCACCUUCCGGGAAUUAAAAAUUUUAAGGUAACAAACGUUAAGACAAGUUCUCCUCAACUGAAAGUGUUGAAAAAGCUGAUGUUUGGGGGCUAAUUUCUUUUCCUUACUCUUGAGGAAGUUAUUGAAACAUUUGAAGAAAUUGAGGCAGAGACAGUACCCAGUGCCGCACAAAAUGAAAUAUUGCCAGAGUGACUGGAUUUUAGAUCUGAUUUCCUGGCUAUGUGGAACACUUAAUCCCUCUGUUUGGUUCCAGCAGGUAUUACAUGAGAAUCAUAGCUGCUCUACCGGCCACAGGAGGUUUUUGUGAGGAUCAGUUGAGCUAGUAGAUGAAGGGGCUUAGUCAAUUAUACAGCACUGUAUUAUAUAAAUAUGAACUAAUGUUAAAACUAAAUUAUACUUGAGGAUUUUGUGAUAGCCUUUGGAAUAACGGGAGAAAAUAUAAUGUGACAAAAUCUGGGCUGGGAAUAUCUGAAAUACAUAAUCAUACUAAUAGAACUGCAAGAAUUUGCUUUUUGCCUAUGUCUGACUUUGUUAAUGACACUACAGAAUCGAUCCGAUUUGGGCAAUCUUGGAGUUUUGCGGUCAAGCCACAGCUGAGGUCCAAGCGAUCAAUCAGUUUACCUUCUAGGAGUCUCAAAGUUACGGAACAUCUGGCUAUUUUGGUACUUUAAUAGAAUGUUAGCUUGCUGGUAUUAUGUGGAAGAGCCACUCUCUUAAUAGAAAAUAUUCACGUUCUGAUGUUAAGUUUUCUAUCAGACUUGGAGACCAUUUCUAUAUUUGAUAUUUGGAAUUAAAUUACAGUCAUACUUUAUUUUUAUAUUAUCAUCUUUAGGCUGUGGAAAAUUGAGAAGUUAAAUGAGUAGCCAAAUCACAUCCCUUGAUGGUGAUGUGAAGAAGACAGGUGAUUUUCUUUCUGAAUGAAACAGGUGUAACACUGGACAAGAUUGUCCAAAAUGGUCAUUUCUGGGCACUGGAAACUGACCAAAAAGGCAGAUAAUAAAUUGAGAGGCAUUAUUGAAACACUGGAUCUUUGGGUAUGAACAGUAGGGGUGUGGCCUUCUCGUGCGGGGCUGCUUCUGUCUUUCUGCCCACUAUCUGAGUUGUCAGACUGCUGGUUUAUCAGACAUGAUGGACUCAGUCUGAAGUGUGGGUAAGGGUUGGGGUUAAGAAAUCACAGCUUUGCUGGCUAAAAGUGGCAAAAUCAGUUCAUAAUGAAAAACCCACAGGUUUGCUACUUCAAGUCUUUAAUUUGCUAGUUGGAGGCCACCCAGAAAUUUAACAAGGAGAUCCUAGAUUUGAGAGACCUGUAGAGGGCUAACAUGGCUCUCCAGCCAUCUGUAGCAGACAGCUAAACUUUGCAUGCCCAGGAGAUACUCAGUAGAGCCCAGCAAAAAGUGAAAGCCAGGAGAGGCUUGAAAUCUGGGUACAACUUUGAAUGCUGCCUUCCAUGCACAGACUGUUGAUUCCGCAGGCGGUGGAAGCCUUACAGGUACAAGGUGGCUGGGCACAAUCUCUGCCCAAAUCACUGGCUGAACACUAAACUAAGCAGCCACUCAGUCAUUAGGGAAAUGCAAAUUAAAGCCAUAAUAGCAACCACGAGAAUGGCUAAAAUUAAAAAGAUUGACCAUCCAAGUGUUGACAAGGAUAUGCGGAAACCAGAAUCCUUGCACAUUGCUGGUGGGAAUUUAAAAUAGCAGCUUUAGCUGUGAUUGAUGAAAACUAGAACUAAUUUAUGUGUCUGUCAGCAGAUAAGUGGAUAGGCAAAUUGUGGUAUAGCCGUCAAUAAUGAAAACGAAUGGAUUGUUGAUAACAUACAACAACAUGUAUGCAUCACAAAAUGAUAAUAUGCUGCGUGAGAGAAGCCAGACACCUUUACCUACAAAAUAUCAUACUGACUCCAUCUAGGUGAAAUUCUAGAAAAUGCAAGCUAAUCUGUAGUAGCAGUAAUUCAGUGCCUGCAGAUUAGAGGAUGGCUUGGGACAGGAGGCAGAAAGGGAGUCCAAAGGAAAGAGCACAAUGAAACAUUUGGGGGUGAUGUAUAUAUUCACUAUCUUGAUUAUGCAUGAUUUCAUGGUUGUAUACAUAUGUGAAAACUCAUCAGAUUGUAUAUUUAAAUAUGUGCAAUUUAUUGUAUAGCAACGGUAACUCAGUAAAGUUA